UUUUGGUGAGGUGCCUUCCGAGUUCCCUGGAACGGGACGCCAUAGAGGGUGAGAGCCCCGUCUGGUUGGACACCGAUCCUCUGUAAAGCUCCUUCGACGAGUCGAGUAGUUUGGGAAUGCUGCUCUAAAUGGGAGGUAUAUGUCUUCUAAAGCUAAAUACCGGCCAGAGACCGAUAGCGCACAAGUAGAGUGAUCGAAAGAUGAAAAGAACUUUGAAAAGAGAGUUAAACAGUACGUGAAAUUGUUGAAAGGGAAGCGCUUGUGACCAGACUUGGGCUUGGUUGAUCAUCCGGGGUUCUCCCCGGUGCACUCUUCCGGCCCAGGCCAGCAUCAGUUCGCCCUGGGGGACAAAGGCUUCGGGAAUGUGGCUCUCUCCGGGGAGUGUUAUAGCCCGUUGCGUAAUACCCUGUGGCGGACUGAGGUUCGCGCAUUCGCAAGGAUGCUGGCGUAAUGGUCAUCAGUGACCCGUCUUGAAA
rnacentral:rRNA from 1 species